rnacentral:rRNA from 1 species
UACGAGGGGUGCAAACGUUAUUCGGAAUCACUGGGCGUAAAGGGUGCGUAGACGGCAAAAUAAGUCAAUUAUUAAAUCUCCUGGCUUAACUAGGAAUCUGUGAUUGAAACUAUAUUGCUUGAGGAUGGAAGAGAGAAGUGGAAUUCUCGGAGUAGCGGUAAAAUGCGUAGAUCUCGAGAGGAACACCGAUGGCGAAGGCAGCUUCUUGGUCCAUUUCUGACGUUGAGGCACGAAAGCGUGGGGAGCAAACAGG